GACGAACGCUGGCGGCGUGCUUAACACAUGCAAGUCGAACGGAGUGGCGAACGGGUGAGUAACACGUGGGUUACCUGCCCUGCACUUCGGGUUAAUCCUGUGAAACUGGGUCUAAUACCGGAUCGUGUGGGAUGGGCCCGCGGCCUAUCAGCUUGUUGGUGGGGUAAUGGCCUACCAAGGCGGCGACGGGUAGCCGGCCUGAGAGGGUGGACGGCCACAUGGGGACGGAGACACGGCCCAGACUACUACGGGAGGCGGCAGUGGGGAAUAUUGCACAAGGGGGGAAAGCGUGAAGCAGCGGCGCCGCGUGGGGGGUGGAGGCUGUCGGGUUGUAGAACUCUUUCGCUAUCGAACGGGUAGGUGGAGAAGAAGCGACGGCUAACUACGUGCCAGCCGCCGCGGUAAUUC
rnacentral:rRNA from 1 species